AAAGGAAUAGACGGGGGCCCGCACAAGCAGCGGAGCAUGUGGUUUAAUUCGAAGCAACGCGUAGAACCUUACCAGGGCUUGACAUGUCAGGGAAUCCGGGCGAAAGCCUGGAGUGCCAUCCUGUGUGGGAUGGAGCCCUGACACAGGUGGUGCAUGGUUGUCGUCAGCUCGUGUCGUGAGAUGUUGGGUUAAGUCCCGCAACGAGCGCAACCCCUGUCGCAUGUUGCCAGCGGGUAAAGCCGGGCACUCAUGCGAGACUGCCGGCGACAAGCCGGAGGAAGGUGGGGAUGACGUCAAAUCAUCAUGCCCCUGAUGUCCUGGGCUACACACGUGCUACAAUGGCCGCUACAGAGCGAGCCGAACCCGUGAGGGGGAGGAAAUCGCCAAAGGCGGUCCCAGUUCGGAUCGCAGGCUGCAACUCGCCUGCGUGAAGCCGGAGUUGCUAGUAAUCGCGGAUCAGCACGCCGCGGUGAAUACGUUCCCGGGCCUUGUACACACCGCCCGU
rnacentral:rRNA from 1 species